GACCACAUAAAACAUUAAUAAAGCCGAUGUGAUCACACACAGGAAGCACCACAGCAGCACACAGUCCAGAGGUUCAGUUAGCAGCUACCUGUCAAUCAGAGGCCACGCCCCUAACAAUGCAGAUCAGUAACUGUGGACACAGUCAGGCAGAGAAACAGCAAAGACACAGCUGUUUAAAGGGAACAGAAAUCUAUGAAUCGACAGCUUUGAAGUGUUUCAGGCCUCGUUUAUUAACCUGGACCAAAGACCAGCAGAUGACCGUGGCCACACCUCCAUCGCCGUUUUCUCCUUACAGGAAGUAGAACUGCUGAGGUCACAAAGAGCGCACAAAUCCAGACACAACUUCAUAAACGGUCCAAUUAGCACAAAGUUAAAAAUGAAAUCCAUCUCACAAUAAAAGUAAAGUGUUUGUUGGGGGCGUGGCCUCUUGGUGGUCAUUCACUAUUCAAACACCAAAACUUUAUUAAAACUCAUAAAAGUCCAUCGGCACCAUGACAUCUGAAACACUUCCUGUGGACAGAUGGAGGUCACACAGCACGAUCUCACUGCAAACAUCAGCUCAUCCUAAACACCCGUCAGCAUC